GACGAACGCUGGCGGCGUGCCUAAUACAUGCAAGUCGAGCGGACGGAUGGGAGCUUGCUCCCAGACCGUCAGCGGCGGACGGGUGAGUAACACGUGGGCAACCUGCCUGUAAGACUGGGAUAACUCCGGGAAACCGGGGCUAAUACCGGAUAACUCUUUCCCUCACAUGAGGGAAAGCUGAAAGAUGGCAUCUCGCUAUCACUUACAGGUGGGCCCGCGGCGCAUUAGCUAGUUGGUGAGGUAACGGCUCACCAAGGCGACGAUGCGUAGCCGACCUGAGAGGGUGAUCGGCCACACUGGGACUGAGACACGGCCCAGACUCCUACGGGAGGCAGCAGUAGGGAAUCUUCCGCAAUGGACGAAAGUCUGACGGAGCAACGCCGCGUGAGUGAUGAAGGUUUUCGGAUCGUAAAACUCUGUUGUCAGGGAAGAACAAGUACCGGAGUAACUGCCGGUACCUUGACGGUACCUGACCAGAAAGCCACGGCUAACUACGUG
rnacentral:rRNA from 1 species